rnacentral:misc_RNA from 1 species
GAUGAAGAACGCAGCGAAAUGCGAUAAGUAAUGUGAAUUGCAGAAUUCAGUGAAUCAUCGAAUCUUUGAACGCACCUUGCACCCUUUGGCAUUCCGAAGGGUAUGCUCGUUUGAGUGUCAUUGUACUCUCACACUCCCGAUCUUUGGAUUGGGAGCGGUGGACUUGGGUUUGCUGCUUGCCGUGGCUCACCUCAAAUGGAUUAGUGCAACUCUUGGUUGACCAUAGUACGGCGUGAUAAGUGUCUUCGCCGGCACCUCACUGGGUGGGCCGAUCGGGAGCUCUGGGCUUCAAACCGUCUUCGGACAACAACUGACAACUUGACCUCAAAUCGAGUAGGACCACCCGCUGAACUUAAGCAUAUCAAUAAGCGGAGGA